rnacentral:rRNA from 1 species
GCAAGUCGAACGAGUUCUGAUUAUUGAAAGGUGCUUGCAUCUUGAUUUAAUUUUGAACGAGUGGCGGACGGGUGAGUAACACGUGGGUAACCUGCCCUUAAGUGGGGGAUAACAUUUGGAAACAGAUGCUAAUACCGCAUAAAUCCAAGAACCGCAUGGUUCUUGGCUGAAAGAUGGCGUAAGCUAUCGCUUUUGGAUGGACCCGCGGCGUAUUAGCUAGUUGGUGAGGUAACGGCUCACCAAGGCAAUGAUACGUAGCCGAACUGAGAGGUUGAUCGGCCACAUUGGGACUGAGACACGGCCCAAACUCCUACGGGAGGCAGCAGUAGGGAAUCUUCCACAAUGGACGCAAGUCUGAUGGAGCAACGCCGCGUGAGUGAAGAAGGCUUUCGGGUCGUAAAACUCUGUUGUUGGAGAAGAAUGGUCGGCAGAGUAACUGUUGUCGGCGUGACGGUAUCCAACCAGAAAGCCACGGCUAACUACGUGCCAGCAGCCGCGGUAAUACGUAGGUGGCAAGCGUUAUCCGGAUUUAUUGGGCGUAAAGCGAGCGCAGGCGGUUUUUUAAGUCUGAUGUGAAAGCCCUCGGCUUAACCGAGGAAGUGCAUCGGAAACUGGGAAACUUGAGUGCAGAAGAGGACAGUGGAACUCCAUGUGUAGCGGUGAAAUGCGUAGAUAUAUGGAAGAACACCAGUGGCGAAGGCGGCUGUCUGGUCUGUAACUGACGCUGAGGCUCGAAAGCAUGGGUAGCGAACAGGAUUAGAUACCCUGGUAGUCCAUGCCGUAAACGAUGAAUGCUAGGUGUUGGAGGGUUUCCGCCCUUCAGUGCCGCAGCUAACGCAUUAAGCAUUCCGCCUGGGGAGUACGACCGCAAGGUUGAAACUCAAAGGAAUUGACGGGGGCCCGCACAAGCGGUGGAGCAUGUGGUUUAAUUCGAAGCAACGCGAAGAACCUUACCAGGUCUUGACAUCUUUUGAUCACCUGAGAGAUCAGGUUUCCCCUUCGGGGGCAAAAUGACAGGUGGUGCAUGGUUGUCGUCAGCUCGUGUCGUGAGAUGUUGGGUUAAGUCCCGCAACGAGCGCAACCCUUAUGACUAGUUGCCAGCAUUUAGUUGGGCACUCUAGUAAGACUGCCGGUGACAAACCGGAGGAAGGUGGGGAUGACGUCAAAUCAUCAUGCCCCUUAUGACCUGGGCUACACACGUGCUACAAUGGAUGGUACAACGAGUUGCGAGACCGCGAGGUCAAGCUAAUCUCUUAAAGCCAUUCUCAGUUCGGACUGUAGGCUGCAACUCGCCUACACGAAGUCGGAAUCGCUAGUAAUCGCGGAUCAGCACGCCGCGGUGAAUACGUUCCCGGGCCUUGUACACACCGCCCGUCACACCAUGAGAGUUUGUAACACCCGAAGCCGGUGGCGUAACCCUUUUAGGGAGCGAGCCGU